UACAGAGGUCCCGAGCGUUGUUCGGAUUCAUUGGGCGUAAAGGGUGCGUAGGCGGCGGGGAAAGUCUGAUGUGAAAUCCUGGGGCUCAACCCUGGAACUGCAUUGGAUACUUCCUUGCUAGAGUACUGGAGAGGAAACUGGAAUUUACGGUGUAGCAGUGAAAUGCGUUGAGAUCCACAGGAACGUCCGGUGGGCGAAGGCGGCACCGCUGGACCCCCACUGACGCCGUGAGGCGCGGAAAGCCCAGGGGAGCGAACGGG
rnacentral:rRNA from 1 species